GAUGAACGCUGGCGGCGUGCCUAAUACAUGCAAGUCGAGCGAACAGACGAGGAGCUUGCUCCUCUGACGUUAGCGGCGGACGGGUGAGUAACACGUGGAUAACCUACCUAUAAGACUGGGAUAACUUCGGGAAACCGGAGCUAAUACCGGAUAAUAUAUUUAACCGCAUGGUUCAAUAGUGAAAGACGGUUUUGCUUUCACUUAUAGAUGGAUCCGCGCCGCAUUAGCUAGUUGGUAAGGUAACGGCUUACCAAGGCAACGAUGCGUAGCCGACCUGAGAGGGUGAUCGGCCACACUGGAACUGAGACACGGUCAAGACUCCUACGGGAGGCAGCAGUAGGGAAUCUUCCGAAAUGGGCGAAAGCCUGACGGAGAAACGCCGCGUGAGUGAUGAAGGUCUUCGGAUCGUAAAACUCUGUUAUUAGGGAAGAACAAAUGUGUAAGUAACUAUGCACGUCUUGACGGUACCUAAUCAGAAAGCCACGGCUAACUACGUG
rnacentral:rRNA from 1 species